rnacentral:rRNA from 1 species
UACGUAGGGGGCAAGCGUUAUCCGGAUUUACUGGGUGUAAAGGGUGCGCAGGCGGGGGAUUAAGUCAGGUGUGAAAACUAUGGGCUCAACCUGUAGAUUGCAUCUGAAACUGGUAUUCUUGAGUAUUGGAGAGGAAAGUGGAAUUCCUAGUGUAGCGGUGAAAUGCUUAGAUAUGACGCAGAACUCCGAUUGCGAAGGCAGCUUACUGGGAUGCAACUGACGCUGAGGCACGAAAGCGUGGGUAUCAAACAGGAUUAGA